rnacentral:lncRNA from 1 species
CUAUUAUUUGAUUUGUGUUUUUGUUUUUUUCUUUUAUCUCGUGGAGAGGGUACUUUUUUUUGUUUUAAACUGCAUGUAAUAAAACUUUUUUUCUUUUAAUAUCUGACUAAUUAACGUUUUUUUUUAAAUAUAAUUUUUAUAUAUAUAUAUAUAUAUAUAUAUAUAAUUUUAUUUUAUUUUCUAUCUAUCGGCAUUAAAAAAAACUAUAGCCGUACACUAUGCAUAACGCCAUUAACCCUAGAAAAAGGAAAUUCAAAUCUAUAGACGGUAAUCCCAAGAGACGGCGUAGAUCUGAUAGUGGGGGUAGCAUUAUGGAUUUAGAACUUGAAGAGAUGACAAUGCGGUAUGACGCAACCGGCGAUACGUCUCAUUUGUCGGGCGUAGGCCAUGUGGUGGGUGGGGGCAUGUAUGCAGAAGGUUGUUUAGACAGGCGGGAAAUAUGUGUUGGCGUAGAUAGAACUAGACGGGUGUUAAUUGCAGCUGAUGCAUGGGGUCGUAGCUUGGCUAAUGCUCUAUAUCAGGCAGCACAGAUAAAUGUUUCGAACGAACCAUGUCUAGAUGACGUGGUGGGGCUAGAGGCACCAGGAGAUUUAGACACAAGGGGUGUGUUGUAUGCGGGGGCAAACACACAAGAUGUACUUAACGCUGUCGGGGGGCGGUUGGAUAGUGCACAAGAGAGUCUAUACAUAUCCACACAGAUCGAUGUAUUGCAUGGGUCGCCACGUGAUGAAGGGAUUGGCGCGGGUUUUCAGGACCCCCCGGCCGCGGCAGGGGUCCCUAUAGAGUCGAGGGGUGUGGUGUAUGCGGGGGCAAACACGCAAGAUGUACUUAACGCUGUCGGGGGGUGGUUGGAUAGUGCACAAGAGAGUCUAUACAUAUCCACACAGAUCGAUGUAUUGCAUGGGUCGCAACGUGAUGAAGGGAUUGGCGAGGGUUUUCAGGACCCCCCGGCUGUGGCAGGGGUCCCUAUAGAGUCGAAUAUACAGGUCGGUGGUGGUGGCGGUGGUGGUGGCG